rnacentral:misc_RNA from 1 species
GUGGGAGGGGGCUUGCUCCCGAUGACUGAAUGUCAGUCACUUAUCAGCUGGCUGACCCACCGUUAUCGGGAGCAAGCCCCCUCCCAC